rnacentral:rRNA from 1 species
GUAAGACUGGGAUAACUCCGGGAAACCGGGGCUAAUACCGGAUGCUUGUUUGAACCGCAUGGUUCAAACAUAAAAGGUGGCUUCGGCUACCACUUACAGAUGGACCCGCGGCGCAUUAGCUAGUUGGUGAGGUAACGGCUCACCAAGGCAACGAUGCGUAGCCGACCUGAGAGGGUGAUCGGCCACACUGGGACUGAGACACGGCCCAGACUCCUACGGGAGGCAGCAGUAGGGAAUCUUCCGCAAUGGACGAAAGUCUGACGGAGCAACGCCGCGUGAGUGAUGAAGGUUUUCGGAUCGUAAAGCUCUGUUGUUAGGGAAGAACAAGUACCGUUCAAAUAGGGCGGUACCUUGACGGUACCUAACCAGAAAGCCACGGCUAACUACGUGCCAGCAGCCGCGGUAAUACGUAGGUGGCAAGCGUUGUCCGGAAUUAUUGGGCGUAAAGGGCUCGCAGGCGGUUCCUUAAGUCUGAUGUGAAAGCCCCCGGCUCAACCGGGGAGGGUCAUUGGAAACUGGGGAACUUGAGUGCAGAAGAGGAGAGUGGAAUUCCACGUGUAGCGGUGAAAUGCGUAGAGAUGUGGAGGAACACCAGUGGCGAAGGCGACUCUCUGGUCUGUAACUGACGCUGAGGAGCGAAAGCGUGGGGAGCGAACAGGAUUAGAUACCCUGGUAGUCCACGCCGUAAACGAUGAGUGCUAAGUGUUAGGGGGUUUCCGCCCCUUAGUGCUGCAGCUAACGCAUUAAGCACUCCGCCUGGGGAGUACGGUCGCAAGACUGAAACUCAAAGGAAUUGACGGGGGCCCGCACAAGCGGUGGAGCAUGUGGUUUAAUUCGAAGCAACGCGAAGAACCUUACCAGGUCUUGACAUCCUCUGACAAUCCUAGAGAUAGGACGUCCCCUUCGGGGGCAGAGUGACAGGUGGUGCAUGGUUGUCGUCAGCUCGUGUCGUGAGAUGUUGGGUUAAGUCCCGCAACGAGCGCAACCCUUGAUCUUAGUUGCCAGCAUUCAGUUGGGCACUCUAAGGUGACUGCCGGUGACAAACCGGAGGAAGGUGGGGAUGACGUCAAAUCAUCAUGCCCCUUAUGACCUGGGCUACACACGUGCUACAAUGGACAGAACAAAGGGCAGCAAAACCGCGAGGUUAAGCCAAUCCCACAAAUCUGUUCUCAGUUCGGAUCGCAGUCUGCAACUCGACUGCGUGAAGCUGGAAUCGCUAGUAAUCGCGGAUCA